UCUGCCUCAGAGGUCUUCUCAAGCCACUACUGUUCCCAAGGAUGCCUAAUUGCAAUGCCAGCUUCUGGGGUGAACAUGGACCCACUGUCAUCGGGCAAGGUCUAGGAUGGACAUGGAGACCCACCAUCUGGGAGAUUCCAGAGUGGACGUGAACCCACCAUCAUCAGGGUCCCUUGGGAAGGAGAGAACCCAGCAGCAUUCAUUACCACCCGAUGCUUGCUAAUGGUGUGACCUUGAAUGAGUCAGCCUGUCACCUGUCUGUGCCUCCGUUUGUCUGUCUGAGAGUGUUAAUGGCUGCUUAUAAGGUAUGUAUUCACGCUGAAUGUGUGUUCAGUAUUUUGAGAGUGCCUGGUUUCCCCCAGAAAGUUGGAAAACCAUUGGCUUUUAUAAUGAUAGUUGUUGCAUGAAUGUCCUUACUCUGUGGAUCUCUUCCCACCCUCUAGAACACAGGUUCCUUGAGCUCAGAAACCCCAUCUAAUGCUCGUAGGUGCACACAGGACGAAUGAUGCUGAGUGAAUGGCAGUUGGACAUGUUUUCUUUGUUGAACCCUCUUUGAGGCCUCUCAGAAGCCAGAGAGAAUAGAGGACGGUGCAGACACCUUGUACCCUGAUGCUGCUGGUUUGUCUGUGCGGUCUCUCAGGAUACUGCCUUGGAAAGGGAGUUAUCCUCUUUUAGGUCAGCCUUCAUUGGUGGGCAGGAUGGACCCUACUACACAGAGAGUCAUGGUUUCUUCUAUGUCAAACCUACCUCAGGACUUCUCUAGGAGAAACACUUUGGGAUUCAGACUUGGUGUCCGUGUGCUUCUGGGUGAGUGACCAGUUUCUGGCCAAAGCCUGGAUGUCUGUACAAGUCUCUGGCCACCUGUAGGCAGGAGAGAACUCUGCAAGUCAGUCCAUUGCUAGUCUGCUUUGCAGUUGGACCUGGGGGCUCAUCGGAGGUAAUGCCAGCCUCCCUAGAGGGUGGGAGUCAGGGAGCCAGAGCCGAGGGAGGCAGGGCUGCCUGGGGAAGAGGCGCCCUGCUCAACUCUCGGCCUGUGCUGACGUUUGAUUCUUGAGCAGAGGUUGCCCUUGGUGAAUUCGCUUUAUUGAUGUUGAAUCACACAAAGGCAACUUUUGUUUGAGUAUCAAAGCCUGCUUGGGGUGGCAUUGGGGACACGUUACAAAGUUCUGGGGUCUCUGCAAAUGUCAUGUGCUAGAAUGGAAGGUGUGGAUAUGGGGAUGGUCAGGAAGGGGUGUGGCUCAGAACGCCACGUGACCAGACAUGUAGUCCCAGGAACCAAUGGAGAGAUGCCAAUAUCUACUCCCUGACUCUUCUCAGCCUGAAUCCUCUUUGUCACACCAGCACCUAGCCCCCCUAGUUGCAGACACACUCGCUGUUCUAUCUCUACUCUGAAGAUACCUUGACAAAAUGAACUCUGUCCUUUGACAGUGUCAAGGACAAUGGCAGCCUUCCCUCCCCACCCCCUUCCUCUCCUCAACUCACUGGGUCAGGAGUGCUCACAUACCAUCUGUUUUUCCCCCCUCCCACCCCACCCCCUCAACACACCUCUGUCUGUUUCUCUUUCGUCCUCAUCGCUCACCAAACCUUGUUCUCCAUUUUUGGAUGGGUUAGGAAAUGAAUAGAGGCGACCAGCAUUUCAUCCCGUUUACAUUAAAUAAUAGUGAUAAAAUAAUCACAAAAUAACACCACAAACUACCAGAAUAGCUUGGAGGAAAAUGUGUUCAAUUGACUACAAAUUGGCAGAAGAAUCCAAUUUUCUUGACAACAUUUGAGCUGCGACAUUUGACCUGGGGAAACAGUACUCUGUAGACAUGGCAGCCGCAAGGGGCAGCUUCAGUAGUGGCGGAUGCUAUGAGCAGUAAUAUUUGUGGUAGAUGAACGCACAUUGAGGAAUCAAAUCUUCGUUCAGAUUUUUAAAUGGGAAAGAAUUGAUCCUAAUGAAAAUGAUUUGAGGAAAUAACAAGGGAAAUAAAAGAAAUGAAAAUGGCCCAACAGCACAGUCAAGGAAGCUAAACAGGGAAUUGGAUUAGUUUAAUGGAAUUUACUGAGCUUCAUGGAGUAUUCAGAAGCUGGCGGGUGUCACCUGGAGGAUGUGACUGGGUACCAGUGCCAGAGCACGUGCCCACUGAGCAGUCUUCUUCACUUUCCUCGAUCCUCAUGAAACAUUCCGGGAUCUUUACCUCAAAGGACUCCAGAGGCUACAUCAUUGUCUUGGAACUGGUCAGUGGCUGGAGCUCUCUCCAGGACAAGUGCUUGGAGGAAGAACCUGGACAAGCUUCCCUCCCCAUACUGUUGACUGGAUCUUGUAGCUACCGUUAGCCACCAUCAUCGCCAUUGUGUGCCUCUUAGGAGCAUUUCCAGGAGGUGAUGCCAGCUGGGGAAAGAGCCUCUGUCCCACAGGCGUCGGUGCCCGCUGCAGCCUGCGCCCAGGAUGUCACAGCCUCAGCUCAACACCUCUGCUGGACAGCUUCAGGUGGUGAUUCCAGCUCCAGGGUUGCUGCGGUCAACACUGGGUACUUGAGGAGAGGUUGUCUGUGAUGAGUUCGCUUUAUUAAUGACGAAUAUAACACAGAUGGCCUGUUUUCAAUACCACCUGCCACUCCGGUCACUCGGCAGUACAUACCAGGUGUCACACCACUGCCCGGCAGGUGACAACGCUGAAUUGGUCCUCAGGAGCGGAUGUUCAAGGAACCCUGCCUAUGCACCAUGCUAGCUGCCAGUCCUAGGUUGGGACAUUCCACUGGGGACAUCCAUGGGAGAGCUAUGGCCAUUAACAAGUCCUGAGCCCUGACCUGAAGCCAUCAGUGGCCUAGGUGCUCUACCUGACUUUGUGGCCUCCCUUCCUGGAUCUCUCGCUUACGACAACCGACAACAAAGAUGUUUGACUCCAGAAGAUGCUCCCCGCGGCCCACCUGAGAGGACUGUCCACACCCCACCCCACUGCGCCCUGUGCCAUCUACCUCUGAGUCCCCAACUUCUCACCCAUGUUUCAACUCCCACCCCAGAGCCUUGUAUUCCAGAUCUGAGCAGCCCUUGCUUAGGAACCUGAGGUGGGGGGUGGGUAGGCAGACCCAGGGGACUGAGCAGGGAGGGGAAGGAGGGGUUUCUGCUCUUGGCUUUCAAAGUUCUCAGUGUGUGUAGCCCUUUGAAUAAUAAACAUAUGUCAUAUAAUGUA
rnacentral:lncRNA from 1 species